GAUGAACGCUGGCGGCGUGCCUAAUACAUGCAAGUCGAGCGAACGGACGAGAAGCUUGCUUCUCUGAUGUUAGCGGCGGACGGGUGAGUAACACGUGGAUAACCUACCUAUAAGACUGGGAUAACUUCGGGAAACCGGAGCUAAUACCGGAUAAUAUUUUGAACCGCAUGGUUCAAAAGUGAAAGACGGUCUUGCUGUCACUUAUAGAUGGAUCCGCGCUGCAUUAGCUAGUUGGUAAGGUAACGGCUUACCAAGGCAACGAUGCAUAGCCGACCUGAGAGGGUGAUCGGCCACACUGGAACUGAGACACGGUCCAGACUCCUACGGGAGGCAGCAGUAGGGAAUCUUCCGCAAUGGGCGAAAGCCUGACGGAGCAACGCCGCGUGAGUGAUGAAGGUCUUCGGAUCGUAAAACUCUGUUAUUAGGGAAGAACAUAUGUGUAAGUAACUGUGCACAUCUUGACGGUACCUAAUCAGAAAGCCACGGCUAACUACGUGCCAGCAGCCGCGGUAAUACGUAGGUGGCAAGCGUUAUCCGGAAUUAUUGGGCGUAAAGCGCGCGUAGGCGGUUUUUUAAGUCUGAUGUGAAAGCCCACGGCUCAACCGUGGAGGGUCAUUGGAAACUGGAAAACUUGAGUGCAGAAGAGGAAAGUGGAAUUCCAUGUGUAGCGGUGAAAUGCGCAGAGAUAUGGAGGAACACCAGUGGCGAAGGCGACUUUCUGGUCUGUAACUGACGCUGAUGUGCGAAAGCGUGGAGAUCAAACAGGAUUAGAUACCCUGGUAGUCCACGCCGUAAACGAUGAGUGCUAAGUGUUAGGGGGUUUCCGCCCCUUAGUGCUGCAGCUAACGCAUUAAGCACUCCGCCUGGGGAGUACGACCGCAAGGUUGAAACUCAAAGGAAUUGACGGGGACCCGCACAAGCGGUGGAGCAUGUGGUUUAAUUCGAAGCAACGCGAAGAACCUUACCAAAUCUUGACAUCCUUUGACAACUCUAGAGAUAGAGCCUUCCCCUUCGGGGGACAAAGUGACAGGUGGUGCAUGGUUGUCGUCAGCUCGUGUCGUGAGAUGUUGGGUUAAGUCCCGCAACGAGCGCAACCCUUAAGCUUAGUUGCCAUCAUUAAGUUGGGCACUCUAAGUUGACUGCCGGUGACAAACCGGAGGAAGGUGGGGAUGACGUCAAAUCAUCAUGCCCCUUAUGAUUUGGGCUACACACGUGCUACAAUGGACAAUACAAAGGGCAGCGAAACCGCGAGGUCAAGCAAAUCCCAUAAAGUUGUUCUCAGUUCGGAUUGUAGUCUGCAACUCGACUACAUGAAGCUGGAAUCGCUAGUAAUCGUAGAUCAGCAUGCUACGGUGAAUACGUUCCCGGGUCU
rnacentral:rRNA from 1 species